GCUGAUGCUUCCCUCCUGAAGCUGCAUACUCGGUUGAAGAGGAUGGCCUUCCUCAAUACAGAUGGACUGGUCUUUGGUCUAGGGUGUGCAAGUAGCUGCAUUCCCCUGCUAGAAUCUCCAAACAAGCUUUUAUUGAUUUCAUAUUAGGUAGACAGAGCUUCACAUGAGAGAGAAGCCAGAGCACCAUUCAGUGCAUGAAGCACUCAAACCAG
rnacentral:snRNA from 1 species